rnacentral:rRNA from 1 species
CCUACGGGAGGCAGCAGUGGGGAAUAUUGGGCAAUGGGCGCAAGCCUGACCCAGCAACGCCGCGUGAAGGAAGACGGCUUUCUGGUUGUAAACUUCUUUUGUCAGGGACGAAGCAAGUGACGGUACCUGACCAAUAAGCCACGGCCAACUACGUGACAGCAGCCGCGGUAAUACGUGGGGGGCAAGCGUUAUCCGGAUUUACUGGGUGUAAAGGGCGUGUAGGGGGGGAAGGAAGUCAGAUGUGAAAACCACGGGCUCAACCUGUUGCCUGCACUUGAAACUGUUGUUCUUGAGUGCGGGAGAGGCAAUCGGAAUUCCGGGUGUAGCGGUGAAAUGCGUAGAUAUACGGAGGAACACCAGUGGCGAAGGCAGAUUGCUGGACAGUAACUGACGCUGAGGCGCGAAAGCGUGGGGAGCAAACAGGAUUAGAUACCCUAGUAGUC